rnacentral:rRNA from 1 species
CAUAAUCAUUUGCCUUCUAAUUAAAGGCUAGUAUGAAAGGACAAACGAAACUCUCACUAUAUCAUUAUUACCUCUUAAAACUUAAUCUUCAGGUGAAGAUGCCUGAAUUUUCAUGAAAGACAAAAAGACCCUAUAGAGUUUUAGUAAUAUUUCCCUUAUAUAUUACUUUAGUUGGGGCGACUAAGGGUUUCAAAAACCACCCUCUACACCCAAGACUAAUAACUCUCAUAAAAGACCCAGAAAAAACUGACCUAAAAAAUAAACUACCUUAGGGAUAACAGGCUUAUCUUCCUAAAGAGUCCAAAUCAAAAGGAAGGUCUGGCACCUCGAUGUUGGCUUAGAGUAACCUAUUAAUGCAAAAGUUAAUAUACGUCAGUUUGUUCAACUGUUUAAUCUCU